AACGAACGCUGGCGGCAGGCCUAACACAUGCAAGUCGAGCGAGACCUUCGGGUCUAGCGGCGGACGGGUGAGUAACGCGUGGGAACGUGCCCUUUUCUACGGAAUAGCUUCGGGAAACUGAGCGUAAUACCGUAUACGCCCUUUGGGGGAAAGAUUUAUCGGAGCAGGAUGGGCCCGCGUUGGAUUAGGUAGUUGGUAGGGUAAUGGCCUACCAAGCCUACGAUCCAUAGCUGGUUUGAGAGGAUGAUCAGCCACACUGGGACUGAGACACGGCCCAGACUCCUACGGGAGGCAGCAGUGGGGAAUAGUAGACAAUGGGGGCAACCCUGAUCUAGCCAUGCCGGGUGAGUGAUGAAGGCCUUAGGGUUGUAAAGCUCUUUCAGCUGGGAAGAUAAUGACGGUACCAGCAGAAGAAGCCCCGGCUAACUCCGUG
rnacentral:rRNA from 1 species